rnacentral:rRNA from 1 species
UACGUAGGGUGCGAGCGUUAAUCGGAAUUACUGGGCGUAAAGUGUGCGCAGGCGGCGUCGCAAGUCGAGUGUGAAAGCCCCGAGCUUAACUUGGGAAUUGCGCUCGAAACUACGAUGCUGGAGUGUGGCAGAGGAAGGUGGAAUUCCACGUGUAGCGGUGAAAUGCGUAGAGAUGUGGAGGAACACCAGUGGCGAAGGCGGCUUCCUGGCCUGUUCUUGACGCUGAGGCGCGAAAGCUAGGGUAGCAAACGGG